rnacentral:lncRNA from 1 species
AAAUAAUGGUUUUUAUAAAAUCACCUUUUUUUUGAGGUUAAAAAGAGACUGAGAGAAUUAGCCACCUGUGUUUAUUAAGGAGAGGCUGUUUAUGGAAAAAGAAAUAGAGUUGGAACCGGAGAGGAAGUAAAGCUUAAAGACUUCAUCACCAGUAUAAUGAUGAUACCACAAAAUAAAAACAAAACGGAGCUAAUCCUCCUUCCCUGGCAAAUAAGUGCAUCAAGAAAAAAAAAAUAGAACAUA